ensembl:lncRNA
GGCUGCGAUGUGAAGACAGUAAUUAAAUCCCGCAGCAUCCGCAAAAGACAGCUGGUGUUUUAAGCGGGGUGUAUAUCGUUUCUGUUGUUGAGCGGAUUUAAACCCCGACCGUGUUUGGUAAACACAUUUUUGGACCUCCAAAUCUUGUUCAAGUGACCGGCAUCUGCGUCAGUUGGACUGGGUGGUCAGACUGUGAUCUUACACAACCUGAGCAGAUACUUUGUAUUGAGGACAGCCGGGUGAUGAUACAAUUACAUUACCACAAUCGGGUCAGUUACGGACACCCUUCCUUGUGGCUGCACAGCGUGAGGGGAUUUUUGUUUUCUUUCAGGCUUGAAAGCUGAAGGUAAUACAGCCAACUCUUCAAAACUGCGCUGUAUGUAAAUGUAUGUUUGAGUUAGAAUAUUUAAAUCUGAAAAGUGGAUUGUUAUUUACAUGUUAAACCAGAGAAAUGGCGAAAGAUAAUGCUAACGACAGUCCAGACACGGAACAGCCAACAACCUUUACAAAUAAUCAAUCGACCAUACCCCAAAAUACAAAUGAACCAACCGCUACUUUGUUACACAGCGAUGCGCACAAUAAUCCUCAGAUACAAGGCUUGUUAACCGAGCUUAGUAGCCCCCAUUUUUCACACGAUCUAGUUGACACUCCUUUGAGCUCUCUGAUGCAAACUCAGUGCAGUGAUGGCGAUGUUAGAGUUAUACAGCGUAAUGCGUUUGACAAUGUUGAAUUACGACAGUUUAUAAAUUUACAAAAUACUGGUGAAGUUGGUGAUUUUGGUACAUUCUACACAAGUAUUAUGGCAGGCUUGGAUACUUUGAUUGUUAGAGCCUCAGACUUUGUACAAGGGACCGGUGAUCGUCUGCAGAUUGAGUUGAUUGGUGAAUCUCUGAUAGAUCCCGUACAUGUGACCAUGAGAGCGGAUGAAUAUAAUGAACGCACGUUUGGUAAUUUACUUGAAAGUGUUAUGCAGAGUAAUGCCGAGAUUAUGAUUGAUGAAUCACUAGAACUGGUGGUACAAAUUGUCAAAAACCGUGAGGGUGGUGCCCCACGACGUAAAG